rnacentral:rRNA from 1 species
UACGGGGGGAGCAAGCGUUGUUCGGAUUUACUGGGCGUAAAGGGCGCGUAGGCGGCGCCGCAAGUCGGUUGUGAAAUCUCUGGGCUUAACCCAGAAAGGUCAACCGAUACUGCGGGGCUAGAGUGCAGAAGGGGCAACUGGAAUUCUCGGUGUAGCGGUGAAAUGCGUAGAUAUCGAGAGGAACACCUGCGGCGAAGGCGGGUUGCUGGGCUGACACUGACGCUGAAGCGCGAAAGCUAGGGGAGCGAACGGG